rnacentral:rRNA from 1 species
AAUCAACGCUGGCGGCGUGCCUCAGACAUGCAAGUCGAACGAUUAAAGCUCUCUUCGGAGAGUGCAUAAAGUGGCGCACGGGUGAGUAACACGUAAGUAAUCUACCUUCGAGUGGGGAAUAACGUCCGGAAACGGACGCUAAUACCGCAUAAUGCAGCGGCAUCGCAAGAUGACAGUUGUUAAAGGAGCAAUUCGCUUGAAGAGGAGCUUGCGGCAGAUUAGCUAGUUGGUAAGGUAACGGCUUACCAAGGCUACGAUCUGUAACCGGUCUAAGAGGACGGUCGGUCACACUGACACUGAAUAACGGGUCAGACUCCUACGGGAGGCAGCAGUCGGGAAUUUUGGGCAAUGGGCGAAAGCCUGACCCAGCAACGCCGCGUGAAGGAUGAAGUAUUUCGGUAUGUAAACUUCGAAAGAAUAGGAAGAAUAAAUGACGGUACUAUUUAUAAGGUCCGGCUAACUACGUGCCAGCAGCCGCA